GUGAGGAAUAUUGGUCAAUGGGCGGGAGCCUGAACCAGCCAAGUCGCGUGAAGGAAGAAGGAUCUAUGGUUCGUAAACUUCUUUUGCAGGGGAAUAAAGUGCAGGACGUGUCCUGUUUUGUAUGUACCCUGAGAAUAAGGAUCGGCUAACUCCGUGCCAGCAGCCGCGGUAAUACGGAGGAUCCGAGCGUUAUCCGGAUUUAUUGGGUUUAAAGGGUGCGGAGGUGGUUUGAUAAGUCAGCGGUGAAAGUUUGCAGCUUAACUGUAAAAAUGCCGUUGAAACUGUCGGACUUGAGUGUAAAUGAGGUAGGCGGAAUGCGUGGUGUAGCGGUGAAAUGCAUAGAUAUCACGCAGAACUCCGAUUGCGAAGGCAGCUUACUAAGCUACAACUGACACUGAAGCACGAAAGCGUGGGGAUCAAACAGGAUUAGAAACCCCAGUAGUCC
rnacentral:rRNA from 1 species